UACGGAGGGUGCAAGCGUUAUCCGGAUUCACUGGGUUUAAAGGGUGCGUAGGUGGGCAGGUAAGUCCGUGGUGAAAUCUCUGAGCUUAACUCAGAAACUGCCGUGGAUACUAUUUGUCUUGAAUGUUGUGGAGGUGAGCGGAAUAUGUCAUGUAGCGGUGAAAUGCUUAGAUAUGACAUAGAACACCAAUUGCGAAGGCAGCUCACUACACAAUUAUUGACGCUGAGGCACGAAAGCGUGGGGAUCAAACAGGA
rnacentral:rRNA from 1 species